rnacentral:rRNA from 1 species
GUGCUAAUACCUCAUAAGUCUUUACGGAGAAAGCUUUAUGCGCCAAUGGAUGAGCCCGCACUUGAUUAGUUUGUUGGUGGGGUAAUGGCCUACCAAGACUGUGAUCAAUAGCUGAUCUGAGAGGAUGAUCAGCCACAUUGGGACUGAGACACGGCCCAAACUCCUACGGGAGGCAGCAGUAGGGAAUAUUGCACAAUGGAGGAAACUCUGAUGCAGCGAUGCCGCGUGAGUGAAGAAGGCCCUUGGGUUGUAAAGCUCUUUCGUCGGGGAAGAAAAUGACUGUACCCGAAUAAGAAGGUCCGGCUAACUUCGUGCCAGCAGCCGCGGUAAUACGAAGGGACCUAGCGUAGUUCGGAAUUACUGGGCUUAAAGAGUUCGUAGGUGGUUAAAAAAGUUGGUUGUGAAAUCCCGGAGCUUAACUCCGGAACUGCAAUCAAAACUUUUUAGCUAGAGUAUGAUAGAGGAAAGCAGAAUUUCUAGUGUAGAGGUGAAAUUCGUAGAUAUUAGAAAGAAUACCAAUUGCGAAGGCAGCUUUCUGGAUCAUUACUGACACUGAGGAACGAAAGCAUGGGUAGCGAAGAGGAUUAGAUACCCUCGUAGUCCAUGCCGUAAACGAUGUGUGUUAGACGUUGGAAAUUAAUUUUUAGUGUCGCAGCGAAAGCAAUAAACACACCGCCUGGGGAGUACGACCGCAAGGUUAAAACUCAAAUGAAUUGACGGGGACCCGCACAAGUAGUGGAGCAUGUGGUUUAAUUCGAAGAUACGCGCAGAACCUUACCAACACUUGACAUGUUCGUCGCGACUCUAAGAGAUUAGAGUUUUCGGUUCGGCCGGACGAAACACAGGUGCUGCAUGGCUGUCGUCAGCUCGUGUCGUGAGAUGUUGGGUUAAGUCCCGCAACGAGCGCAACCCUCACUUUUAGUUGCCAUCAUUUAGUUGGGCACUCUGAAAGAACUGCCAGUGAUAAGCUGGAGGAAGGUGGGGAUGACGUCAAGUCCUCAUGGCCCUUACGUGUUGGGCUACACACGUGCUACAAUGGCAUUUACAAUAGGAAGCAAGAUGGCGACGUCGAGCAAAUCCUAAAAAGAUGCCUCAGUUCGGAUUGUACUCUGCAACUCGAGUACAUGAAGCUGGAAUUACUAGUAAUCGCGGAUCAGCGCGC